UACGUAGGUGACAAGCGUUGUCCGGAUUUACUGGGCGUAAAGAGCGCGCAGGCGGUCGUUCAAGUCGAGUGUGAAAGCCCCCGGCUCAACUGGGGAGGGUCACUCGAUACUGAUCGACUCGAAGGCAGGAGAGGGAAGUGGAAUUCCCGGUGUAGUGGUGAAAUGCGUAGAUAUCGGGAGGAACACCAGUGGCGAAGGCGACUUCCUGGCCUGUUCUUGACGCUGAGGCGCGAAAGCUAGGGGAGCAACGGGG
rnacentral:rRNA from 1 species